rnacentral:snRNA from 1 species
UUACUCCCUUCAGCAGCAAAUAUACUAAAAGUUAAAUGAUACAGAGAAGAUUAGCACGGCCCCGGCAUGAAGACGACAAAAUAAUUCUUGAAGCUUUCCAUACUUUU